UUGUUCUUAAAUCGGGGAGUAUCUACCAAAGCUCCUUCCAAAUCUCAGGAUUCUGGGAAUUUGUAGUGUCUCUGGGUUUGUUGUACUUUAUUUAUUUGUACUGUCAUGUAAAUUUUUACAUGAAGGAACAGCGUUCUGAUCCACAAAGUGUAUCUUUUCAGAGAUAGAAGAAUGAAGCUCCCUUCUGGAGGUGUGGGAGCAUUUCCUCUCCAGAUUCACCGGGGAACACAGACAGACCUAUGGGAACACACGGGAACCUCUUUUAGAAAACCUGACAAGCGAAUAUGACUUGGAUCUUUUCCGAAGAGCACAAGCCCGGGCUUCAGAGGAUUUGGAGAAGUUAAGGCUGCAAGGCCAAAUCACAGAGGGAAGCAACAUGAUUAAAACAAUUGCUUUUGGCCGCUAUGAGCUUGAUACCUGGUACCAUUCUCCAUAUCCUGAAGAAUAUGCACGGCUGGGACGUCUCUAUAUGUGUGAAUUCUGUUUAAAAUAUAUGAAGAGCCAAACGAUACUCCGCCGGCACAUGGCCAAAUGUGUGUGGAAACACCCACCUGGUGAUGAGAUAUAUCGCAAAGGUUCAAUCUCUGUGUUUGAAGUGGAUGGCAAGAAAAACAAGAUCUACUGCCAGAACCUGUGCCUGUUGGCCAAACUUUUUCUGGACCACAAGACAUUAUAUUAUGAUGUGGAGCCCUUCCUGUUCUAUGUUAUGACAGAGGCGGACAACACUGGCUGUCACCUGAUUGGAUAUUUUUCCAAGGAAAAGAAUUCAUUCCUCAACUACAACGUCUCCUGUAUCCUUACUAUGCCUCAGUACAUGAGACAGGGCUAUGGCAAGAUGCUUAUUGAUUUCAGUUAUUUGCUUUCCAAAGUCGAAGAAAAAGUUGGCUCCCCAGAACGUCCACUCUCAGAUCUGGGGCUUAUAAGCUAUCGCAGUUACUGGAAAGAAGUACUUCUCCGCUACCUGCAUAAUUUCCAAGGCAAAGAGAUUUCUAUCAAAGAAAUCAGUCAGGAGACGGCUGUGAAUCCUGUGGACAUUGUCAGCACUCUGCAAGCCCUUCAGAUGCUCAAGUACUGGAAGGGAAAACACCUAGUUUUAAAGAGACAGGACCUGAUUGAUGAGUGGAUAGCCAAAGAGGCCAAAAGGUCCAACUCCAAUAAAACCAUGGAUCCCAGCUGCUUAAAAUGGACCCCUCCCAAGGGCACUUAAAGUGACCUGUCAUUCCGAGCCAGCGAACCCCAGCAGUAGGAAUCCGUACCCUAGGGAUCUGUCUGUCAUUUCUGUUGCUC
rnacentral:sRNA from 1 species